AUUGAACGCUGGCGGCAGGCCUAACACAUGCAAGUCGNGCGGAAACGACACUAACAAUCCUUCGGGUGCGUUAAUGGGCGUCGAGCGGCGGACGGGUGAGUAAUGCCUAGGAAAUUGCCUUGAUGUGGGGGAUAACCAUUGGAAACGAUGGCUAAUACCGCAUAAUGCCUACGGGCCAAAGAGGGGGACCUUCGGGCCUCUCGCGUCAAGAUAUGCCUAGGUGGGAUUAGCUAGUUGGUGAGGUAAUGGCUCACCAAGGCGACGAUCCCUAGCUGGUCUGAGAGGAUGAUCAGCCACACUGGAACUGAGACACGGUCCAGACUCCUACGGGAGGCAGCAGUGGGGAAUAUUGCACAAUGGGCGAAAGCCUGAUGCAGCCAUGCCGCGUGUAUGAAGAAGGCCUUCGGGUUGUAAAGUACUUUCAGUUGUGAGGAAGGGUGUGUAGUUAAUAGCUGCGCAUUUUGACGUUAGCAACAGAAGAAGCACCGGCUAACUUCC
rnacentral:rRNA from 1 species